rnacentral:rRNA from 1 species
GUGGGGAAUAUUGGACAAUGGGCGCAAGCCUGAUCCAGCCAUGCCGCGUGUGUGAAGAAGGCCUUAUGGUUGUAAAGCACUUUAAGCGAGGAGGAGGCUACUUUAGUUAAUACCUAGAGAUAGUGGACGUUACUCGCAGAAUAAGCACCGGCUAACUCUGUGCCAGCAGCCGCGGUAAUACAGAGGGUGCAAGCGUUAAUCGGAUUUACUGGGCGUAAAGCGCGCGUAGGCGGCUAAUUAAGUCAAAUGUGAAAUCCCCGAGCUUAACUUGGGAAUUGCAUUCGAUACUGGUUAGCUAGAGUGUGGGAGAGGAUGGUAGAAUUCCAGGUGUAGCGGUGAAAUGCGUAGAGAUCUGGAGGAAUACCGAUGGUGAAGGCAGCCAUCUGGCCUAACACUGACGCUGAGGUGCGAAAGCAUGGGGAGCAA